CCCAGCAGGCUCAGUUUCACAUCAGUAUACUCCUAGUAUUUGCAGGUGAUGUCAUAAUGCAGUGGUCAGGCGGUGACAGUGUUACCACCACCAGCAGCAAAAAGUGUCCUCCUUUCAAAGAUGUGGUCGAUGAUGACCAGUGUUCCAUUGCACUGCUUCAGUGAUGAGAUGUUUGUGGAUUUAAGGCACGUGUUUGCAGAGGAUGAGAAUCUUGAAUAUUUGAUGCGUGAUCAUGUAUGAAGAGUAACCCCUCUGGCAAUACCGUCCCAGGAUCUUGAUGAUGAUGAUCAGGUACAGGGUACCCUUUGCCACGCACCUCACGGUGGCUUGCGGAGUAUCGAUGAAGAUGUAGAUGUAGAAUCACAUAUUGUUCCUGCACCCACACCUUUUCAUCAUCAUCAACAUUAGAGUGUUGGCAGUUAAACAUAAAGCAGUGUAUUCAGAUAUUGACCAUAUCAUCUCAGACUUCUACUGAUGAAAUGCUCGAUGAACUGGAACUGCCACCCCAGCCACCAACACCAUGACCAUCACAAGCACUGAUAGCUGAUGUGCCAACUGCGGUCACUACACAGCACACAGUAGUUGCAAGUAGUAGCAGCGCCAGCAGCUGUGUCCUGACUCCUCAGCCAGUACCACACACGUCUGUGCCGAUGUCAGCAACAACACAGCACUUGGCCAACCUAUCAUGAGGAGCAGCAGUGCCAUCAGCAUCAGCAUCACCACCGAUGUGAUCAGUACCAUCACUAUUGCAAACAUCAGGGCCACCUGGAUGGGGUCUUCGUAGUAUUAGUGGCGAUCAGUUACCAGUCAGCAGCAGCCCGUCUGCCCAUUCUGACUGUUAAGAUGAGAAUGUUCAGGUAUUCCAGAAAGCAUUACCAUUUUCUGAGUUAUUCGAAGUGUACUUGGAGAAAGUACUGCAUCUGUAACACAGUCGGGAAUCAAUAUCUGAUUCUU